GACGAACGCUGGCGGCGUGCCUAAUACAUGCAAGUAGAACGCUGAAGGAGGAGCUUGCUUCUCUGGAUGAGUUGCGAACGGGUGAGUAACGCGUAGGUAACCUGCCUGGUAGCGGGGGAUAACUAUUGGAAACGAUAGCUAAUACCGCAUAAUAUUGACUAUUGCAUGAUAGUCAGUUGAAAGGUGCAACUGCACCACUACCAGAUGGACCUGCGUUGUAUUAGCUAGUUGGUGGGGUAACGGCCCACCAAGGCGACGAUACAUAGCCGACCUGGGAGGGUGAUCGGCCACCAUGGGACUUAGGCCAGGCCCAGACUCCUACGGGAGGCAGCAGUAGGGAAUCUUCGGCAAUGGGCGGAAGUCUGACCGAGCAACGCCGCGUGAGUGAAGGAGGUUGUCGGAUCGUAAAGCUCUGUUGUAAGAGAAGAACGAGUGUGAGAGUGGAAAGCUCACACUGUGACGGUAUCUUACCAGAAAGGGACGGCUAACUACGUG
rnacentral:rRNA from 1 species